AAAAACAACCUGACAACACACCAUCAUCAUCACAGUCAAAACACAGCUCAGGUAGCAGAAGAAACACACUUACAAUCAACAUGAAUUGUUGUUCUUGUACAAUAUGACGUUUUUUAACUUUAGCAUUUACUAAAGGAGGCACAUACAUGACCAACAGGCCAGUGUCCCAAAUUGAAUCCUAUCCCCUCUGUCAUGCACUACUAUUGACCGGGGCCCAUAAGGUAAAGGGGACACCACUAUGGGCCCUGGUCAACAGUAGUGCACCCUUUACCCUCAACACUACUGUUGACCAGGGCCCAUAGGGUGAAGGGGACACUACUGUUAACCAGGGCCCAUAGGGUGAAGGGGACACUACUGUUAACCAGGGCCCAUAGGAUAAAGAGGACACUACUGUUGACCAGGGCCCAUAGGGUAAAGGGGACACUACUGUUAACCAGGGCCCAUAGGGUAAAGGCCGCCCUCUGGGACACAGUCAUUGUAUUAUCUAAUGUGGUCUGGAUAAUCAUAUCUGGAUAACCUCAUUGGACUAGACCAGGUUAUCCAGAUAUGAGACACUUCAUAAUAACUCUGAAUCAAUAUUAGUAAACAAUAAACAAGGCUGAAAACAAACAAUCAGUAGGACCAACAGCCUUCUUCAAGAGGAGGUUCAGGGCCAGUUUUAGGUCCAACAGCCUUCUUCAAGAGGAGGUUCAGGGCCAGUUUUAGGUCCAACAGUAGCCAGCAUCAAGAGGAGGUUCAUGGCCAGUUUUAGGACAAACAGCCUUCUUCAAGAGGAGGUUCAGGGCCAGUUUUAGGUCCAACAGUAGCCAGCAUCAAGAGGUUCAUGGCCAGUUUUAGGACCAACAGUAUCCUGCUUCAGGAGGUGGUUCAGGGCCAGUUUUAGGACCAGUAGGACCAACAGUAUCCUACUUCAGGAGGUGGUUCAGGGCCAGUUUUAGGACCAGUAGGUCCAACAGUAUCCUGCUUCAGGAGGAGGUUCAGGGCCAGUUUUAGGACCAGUAGGACCAACAGUAUCCUGCUUCAGGAGGUGGUUCAUUGCCAGUUUUAGGACCAAUAGUAUCCUGCUUCAGGAGGUGGUUCAGGGCCAGUUUUAGGACCAACAGUAUACUGCUUAAGGAGGUGGUUCAUUGCCAGUUUUAGGACCAUUAGUAUCCUGCUUCAGGUGGUUCAGGGCCAGUUUUAGGACCAGUAGGGCCAACGGGCCAGCUUCAGGAGGAGGUUCAGGGACAGUUUUAGGACCAGUAUGGCCAACGGCCUGCUUCAAGAGGAGCUUCAGGGCCAGUUUUAGGUCCAACAGUAGCCUGCUUCAGGAGGAGGUUCAGGGCCAGUUUUAGGACCAGUAGGACCAACAGUAUCCUGCUUCAGGAGGAGGUUCAGGGCCAGUUUUAGGGCCAACAGUAUCCUGCUUCAGGAGGUGGUUCAGGGCCAGUUUUAGGACCAACAGUAUCCUGCUUCAGGAGGAGGUUCAGGGCCAGUUUUAGGACCAGUAGGACCAACAGUAUCCUGCUUCAGGAGGAGGUUCAGGGCCAGUUUUAGGACCAGUAGGACCAACAGUAUCCUGCUUCAGGAGGAGGUUCAGGGCCAGUUUUAGGGCCAACAGUAUCCUGCUUCAGGAGGUGGUUCAGGGCCAGUUUUAGGACCAAUAGUAUCCUGCUUCAGGAGGAGGUUCAGGGCCAGUUUUAGAACCAGUAGGACCAACAGUAUCCUGCUUCAGGAGGUGGUUCAUUGCCAGUUUUAGAACCAGUAGGACCAACAGUAUCCUGCUUCAGGAGGUGGUUCAUUGCCAGUUUUAGAACCAGUAGGACCAACAGUAUCCUGCUUCAGGAGGUGGUUCAGGGCCAGUUUUAGGACCAACAGUAUCCUGCUUCAGGAGGUGGUUCAGGACCAGUUUUAGGACCAACAGUGUCCUGCUUCAGGAGGUGGUUCAGGGCCAGUUUUAGGACCAACAGUAUCCUGCUUCAGGAGGUGGUUCAGGGCCAGUUUUAGGACCAGUAGGACCAACAGUAUCCUGCUUCAGGAGGAGGUUCAGGGCCAGUUUUAGGACCAGUAGGUCCAACAGUAUCCUGCUUCAGGAGAUGGUUCAGGGCACCUUCUCAGUAGUAGUGGAGUGGAUCAGUUUCUGGGGGGGGCGUCUUAACAUGGCUCCUCUGGCUCUGUGGAGCUUGGCUGGUUACGGGUAGACCCCCAGACUGGGGCUCUGGGUGGUGAUAGGGGGCUGGAGAGGGGCGGAGGUGGCUGGGGCAAGCCCAGACUGGGGCUCUGGGUGGUGAUAGGGGGCUGGAAAGGGGCGGAGGUGGCUGGGGCAAGCCCAGACUGGGGCUCUGGGUGGUGAUAGGGGGCUGGAGAGGGGCGGAGGUGGCAAGCCCAGACUGGGGCUCUGGGUGGUGAUAGGGGGGCGGAGGUGGCUGGGGCAAGCCCAGACUGGGGCUCUGGGUGGUGAUAGGGGGCUGGAGAGGGGCGGAGGUGGCUGGGGCAAGCCCAGACUGGGGCUCUGGGUGGUGGUAGGGGGGCUGGAGAGGGGCAGAGGUGGCUGGGGCAAGCCCGGGCUGUUUUUUUUUUGGGGGCCUUUGGAAGAGACAGUCUGUUUCUGCCUAUCAGGUGGAACCCUGUUCCCUACAUAGUGCAGUACUUCUGACCAGAGACCCAUAGAGUUAGUUCCCACACAAAGCCAGUUGAUGAAGUGGACCAAGGAGAUGACAACAUUGACAUUGUUCUGUGAUGUCAGGUCCAGGUGUGAAGGACCCCACAGGGCUCUGGUCACAAGUAG
ensembl:lncRNA